rnacentral:rRNA from 1 species
AUGAACGCUGGCGGCGUGCCUAAUACAUGCAAGUCGAGCGAACGGACGAGAAGCUUGCUUCUCUGAUGUUAGCGGCGGACGGGUGAGUAACACGUGGAUAACCUACCUAUAAGACUGGGAUAACUUCGGGAAACCGGAGCUAAUACCGGAUAAUAUUUUGAACCGCAUGGUUCAAAAGUAAAAGACGGUCUUGCUGUCACUUAUAGAUGGAUCCGCGCUGCAUUAGCUAGUUGGUAAGGUAACGGCUUACCAAGGCAACGAUGCAUAGCCGACCUGAGAGGGGGAUCGGCCACACUGGAACUGAGACACGGUCCAGACUCCUACGGGAGGCAGCAGUAGGGAAUCUUCCGCAAUGGGCGAAAGCCUGACGGAGCAACGCCGCGUGAGUGAUGAAGGUCUUCGGAUCGUAAAACUCUGUUAUUAGGGAAGAACAUAUGUGUAAGUAACUGUGCACAUCUUGACGGUACCUAAUCAGAAAGCCACGGCUAACUACGUG